AACGAACGCUGGCGGCAGGCUUAACACAUGCAAGUCGAACGGGCACCUUCGGGUGUCAGUGGCAGACGGGUGAGUAACGCGUGGGAACGUACCCUUCGGUUCGGAAUAACCCAGGGAAACUUGGGCUAACACCGGAUACGUCCGCAAGGAGAAGAUUUAUCGCCGAAGGAUCGGCCCGCGUCGGAUUAGCUAGUUGGUGGGGUAAUGGCCCACCAAGGCGACGAUCCGUAGCUGGUCUGAGAGGAUGANCAGCCACAC
rnacentral:rRNA from 1 species